rnacentral:rRNA from 1 species
UACGUAGGGUGCAAGCGUUAAUCGGAAUUACUGGGCGUAAAGCGUGCGCAGGCGGUUCGUUAAGUCUGAUGUGAAAGCCCUGGGCUCAACCUGGGAAUGGCAUUGGAAACUGGCGACCUAGAGUGCGGUAGAGGGUAGUGGAAUUCCCGGUGUAGCAGUGAAAUGCGUAGAGAUCGGGAGGAACAUCCGUGGCGAAGGCGACUACCUGGGCCAGCACUGACACUGAGGCACGAAAGCGUGGGGAGCAAACAGG